ensembl:lncRNA
AUAUCAUUUAGUGCCAAAAAUCUCCUCAAAAUAAUAAACUAAACAGAAUGAAUGAAUGAAAAUAUAGUAAAAUUAUUUAAUUGAUUAAAAGUUACACUUAAGGUGUUUGGUCACAUAUAACUGCAAAGGGCUAUGAGAACAUGUCAAUGCUGUAUUUUUAUCACUCCCAAGAAUAAAAUGUUAUUGUAAAGCGAAGUCAGCGUAGUUAUCAAUGCACAUAAGUACUAGUAAUUGCUGCAAAUAUAGUGAAACUGCUGUCUGUCCCGAUUAGACCCAUUCAAACAUAUAGACAGCACAGAGUUGUUUGGAACGAUUGAGAGCUCCAUGAACCACUUGCCCGCAUGACAGAAAGAUCAAAGCAUGUUGCAACUUUCUCAAUGGCUCUGCAUGUAACGUUCAUACAUUUUGGUGCUUUGGAAUGCAGCAUUUUGAAAGCAAACUUAUUUUGAAGGUUUUUUUUUUUUUUGUGAAUGAAUGAAUGAGGCAUUUACAUUGUGCUUUACUGUCCACCCAAAGUGUUUUACAAUCAUAUGAGGGGGUCUCUUCUCAACCACCACCAGCAUCCACCUGGAUGAUGCGACGGCAGCCACAGUACAUCGGUGCCAGUGCACUCACCACACACCAGCUACAGGUGGAGAGGAGAGAGAGAUAGAGCCAAAUCUGUGGAUGGGAUUAUUAGGAGACCAUGACUGACAAGGGCCAGUGGAGAGAAUUUGGCCCGGACACCGGGGUUACACCCCUACUCUUUACGAAAAGUGUCAUGGGAUUUUUAAUGACCACAGAGAGUCAGGACCUUGGUUUAACAUCUCAUCCUGAAGAACGGUGCUUUUUACAGUAUAAUGUCCCCGUCACUAUACUGGGGUGUUAGGACCCACACAGACCACAGGGUGAGCACCCCCUGCUGGCCUCACUAACACCUCUUCCAACAGCAACCUAUUUUGCCCAGGUCUCCCAUCCAGGUACUGACCAGGCUCAACCCUGCUUAGCUUCAGUGGACAACCAGUCUUAGGCUACAGGGUGAUAUGGCUGGCUGUUUUGGUCCCUUCCCUUCCCUUUGUAUUUUGGUAUUUCCUUUGUUGUCAUUGUUUCAUGUAAUGCCUUUUUUACAGUGCAUUAAUAUACCCAUUUUGUUUUGUCUCCUUGAGUAUUUUGCGUUCCUAUUUGCCAGUGACUUUUGGUUUAUUCCAACACAUUUACACUUAGCAGACACUUUCAUCCAAAGUGACAUACAAAGACAAGUUCACUUUUUUGUUAUGAAGUUCAGGCUGUUUCCGGAUUAGUUUUUUUUUUUUCCCUGCUUUUCAUGUUUGGGUUCUUUAUGUCACUAUCACAAUUUCAAUACUCUAUAUUUGUGUUCUUUGCCAUAUCAUGCCUCAUGAGUUGUCUUUUAAAACAGUGAUUGAGUAUGAGACGAAGUUUAAAAGUGGAAAAAAUAAUGAAGAACAAAGUCAAACUCUGCCAUUUAAUGGACACAGAAGAACUCAGCACAAGUCAGUCAUAUGCUUGCUUGUAUGUCUAGUUUCUUGUCUUCAUUCUUCAACUUUAGUCUUAAAAAAAGCAAAAAAUGAAUGAAUAAAAUAAUUAAUUAAAAAAAUUGUAUAAAAUGUUUCAUAGAUGUUAUGUAUAAAAAGUCACUUUUCUCUACAUAAUCAUCAUCUGUUGUUACCUUCCCAGCUUCACGACUCUUGGCUCUCAGCUUGUUGACCUGGGACUCGGCGAUGUCAGCACGCUCAUGAGACUCCUCCAGCUCAUGCUGCACCUUCCUGUACCUGGACAGGUGAGUGUUGGCCUGCUCCUCCUGUUACGAUGACACAAGAUAUCCAACCCCUUUCAGAGGAUUGCACUCAUGGCACUGAGUGUAUUGAAUAGAAAAUAUCAAAGCUUCAUACUUGAAACAUUUGACAUUAGACUUACAGCUUCUUCAGCUUGGCGUUUGUAGGCCUUCACUUUGAGCUGCAGCUUGUCUACCAGAUCCUGCAGUCGAGUCACAUUCUUCUUGUCUUCCUCAGUCUUUGGGUGUAAAAAUUGUUCAUGAUCUUGGUUAAACUAUGUAUAUCAUCAUGAAAGGUGUUAAAUAUCUAAUUUGUGUGUAGUUUUACCUGGUAGGUGAGCUCCUUCACUCUCCUUUCAUAUUUGCGCACUCCUUUCACAGCGUCUGCACCACGUCUCUGUUCAGCUUCAACUUCAGCCUCCAACUCAUGCACCUUCAGUAGAGAGUUACUGUUGUCAACUGUGAAAUCUCUGCCAUGGCCAGUUCAUCUAAGGAUUACUCACACCAGGCGAUCUGAACCAUGCCCGAGCCCCCCCAAAGUCUGGUUCUUUUGACUGGUGUGAUUCCUCUGUACCAUAUCUGAGCACGGUACACUGAACCAUGUCCUAACCCGCUUGAAAAGGGGAGGCAGAGCAUGGUUCAGUUGGGCUCUGGCGCGAUACACAUGUAGUGUGAUCGCUAACUGCACCUGAGCACAGGACAGCUACUAACUGUGUGCACUAGCACAAGUAGCAGUUUUUAGUUAAUUUGAGUAUUGAGUAAUAUAGAUUUAUAACAGGUCUGGUUUUUACCUUAUUGAUAAACAUUAUUUAUACUUUGUGAGUAUAGCUGCAACUUCCUCCAUCAAUGUCAUCUGACUCCAUAAUCAUUUUCUGAUACGUGCAGCAGAAUUAAAUGAAAAUCACUACACUUCAUAAGUGAUAAAGGUAUUAGAUAGUCUAACAGCGAAAGUAAUUUUCUUCAAAACAAAAGUUGAAUUGUAAUGACUAAAGCCUGCUGCAGCCCAAAAUGUUAAGAGCAAUGUAAGUGCAGGCCAGCCGGGGAGUGGGGAGGGGAUAUAAUGGCACUCUGGCUCGUUACAAGGCAACCGCUCCUAGUAUGAAUACACCUUAAGUCUGUAUUUAGUCUGUAAUUUACCCUGGACUCCAGUUUCUGGAGCUGUUUCUUUCCACCCUUCAUGGCCAGACUCUCAGCCUCAUCCAGACGGUGCUGCAGGUCUUUGACAGUCACCUCCAUGUUCUUCUUCAUCCUCUCCAGGUGAGCACUGGUGUCCUGCUCCUUCUUCAGCUCCUCAGCCAUCAUGGCAGCCUGAAAUAUAGGCCAGUGAAAACGAGCUAACCAAUAUAGAUAGAAUUAGCUUCCAUGAAUGUUCUCUUUGCUACCACAUGCAGCUAAACAAAGUCAAAUAACUGUUUAAAUUAGCAUAGAGUAACAUAUUGCAAACACUCACAUCAGUGAUGGCCUUCUUGGCCUUCUCCUCUGCAUUUCUGGCCUCCUGGACUGCAUCAUCCACCUCACCUUGAACCUGGAGCAGAUCAGUCUCAAGCUUCUUCUUGGUGUUAAUAAGACUCGUAUUCUGCAGGAUUUAAGCAGGUAGUUUAGUGUAUAUUUAACUAAUAAUUUAUCAUGUAAUCUGAAUUUUCUCUUAGUAUUUAAUAAUCUUUUUGUACUUGUGAGUGUAGCAGUCCCACACGUUCGCUGGCAUCCACCAGCUCCUGCUCCGCCACUUUGCGUCCUCUCUCUGUUUGCUCCAGGCCAGCUCUCAGCUCCUCAAUCUCUGCUUGCAUUAGGCUAUUCCUGCGCUCCACCAUGGCCACCUGCUCCUUCAUGUCCUCCUGUCCUCUGACAGCUUCAUCAAGGUGCAGUUGGGCAUCCUGUGGCAAUGUUCUUUCUUUGUUAGUUGCAUGCCAUGCUUCAGUUAAUUCAUGUGUCAUAUUCAUAUGAUCAAACACUUAAACUCCUCAUUCUACAGAGAGAUACCUUGAGUUGUCCUUGGACGUUCCUGAGCUGUUUCUGGGCCUCAGCAGCCUGGCGGUUGGCAUGACUCAACUGCACCUCCAUCUCAUUCAGAUCUCCCUCCAUCUUCUUUUUGACUCUCAGGGCAUCAUUUCUGCUCCUGACCUCAGAAUCCAGAGUGCUCUGCAUGGAAUCCAACACUCUUUGACUGUUCCUCUUGAUCUGUUCCAUCUCCUCAUCCUUCUCAGCCAGCUUCCUGUCAAUCUCGCUCUUCACCUGGUUCAGCUCCAGCUGCACACGAAGAAUCUUGGACUCUUCAUGCUCCAGGGUGCCCUGCAAGAAAAAAAGGAAAUAAUUUACUUACUUUUUAAACUUGUAAAAUUGUACUAUAUGGCUCCAGAGUUAUGGCAGGUAUAUUUGUGAUUGUUUAAGAAGGAAAUAAUUACAUUAAUUUAAGGUUUUGAACCACUACAUAUACAAUGUUUUAAUAUUAUUCAAAGCACUAGUGUGAUGUUAGUAUUGUAGCAAAAGGAAUGGCACCUCAGCUUCUUCUAGUGCAGUCUGGAUCUCUGCUUUCUCGGACUCCACUGUCUUCUUGGCUUUCUCUAUCUCAUGAAUGCUCUUUCCAAUCUCUCCAAGCUGCUCAGAGAGGUCAGAAAUCUCCUCUGAAAGUAUUUAAAAAUCAAUUGUACAUCAUUUUCUGUUUUUUAAGGCAUCUCUGUUUUUUAAAUUCCUUGCUGUAAAAAUAAAAGUGCCAUUUACGUUGCAGAUUCUUGUUCUCCCUCUUCAGGGUCUCAAGGUGGUCAAGAGCUUCUUCAUAGGAGUUCUUCAUUUUGAAAAGCUCGGUGCUGAGAGAACGAGCUUCUUUCUGAGCAGCUUCUAGUUCAGCCUGGCUUUCCUCAUACUUCUGUUUCCAGUCUGCUAGGACCUGGAGAAAAGUUCCUCUGCUUCUUGUCAAGGUUGGCAGCCAAUGCAUUUGCCCUCUCCCCAUCAAUCAUGAGGUCCUCUACUUCACUCUGCAGCCUCUGUUUGGUCUUUUCCAGAGAGGCACACUUGGAGUUCACUGCCUCAAUGGAUUCUUCAGCAUCCUGCAGACGCUGUGCCAGCUUUUUCCUGAAGAAAGUGGUAUUAAAUGAUGAAAUCUUACUAAUAUUUGUGAAACUAAAUGUAGGGUACUCAAGACUUUUUCCUUUGCUGUAUUUACUUGGAUUCCUCAAGCUCUUCAGUGCGUUGGAUGGCAUCGGUCUCAUAUUUGGCUCUCCACUGGGCCACCUCACUGUUGGCCUUAGACAUUCCACGCUGGAGUUCCGCUUUGGCCUCCUGCUCCUCCUCAUACUGCUCUCUGAGCAAGUCACAGUCAUGGCGGGCAGACUGAACUGCAUGGGCCAGAGCAUUCUUGGCCUAUAGGGUGGCACAUUUUGGGAUUUUAAACACUCUACUAUCUACACUACGGCUUGGAUUUACAAAAAAAAAAAAAAAAAAAAUUAAAAUAAUUUAAUUAUCAAAACAAAGUAAUAUUUGCAACUCUACCUUGACUUCUUCCUCAACAUGUCUUUUAAGAUCUUCAAUUUGCUGAGUAAAAGCCUGUUUUCCUCUAGUUAACUGUGAAACAAGUGCUUCUUUCUCUUCCAGCUGACGGCUAAAUUCACCUUAGAAACAGGUUACAGAUAUUAGCAUGAAAUAUAAUAACAGAAUCUUUUAACUCAAUUUUGUUUUAAGAUUUUUUACAUGUGUAGCUUACUCUCUU